rnacentral:rRNA from 1 species
AGGACGAACGCUGGCGGCGUGCCUAAUACAUGCAAGUCGAACGGUCUUUCUAUGGAAGCUUGCUUCCACUGAGAAGAUAGUGGCGAACGGGUGAGUAACACGUGGGUAACCUGCCCAUAAGAGGGGGGAUAACAUCCGGAAACGGGUGCUAAUACCGCAUAGUUUUCUUGAUCGCAUGAUCGGGAAAGGAAAGACGGCCUUUGUGCUGUCGCUUAUGGAUGGACCCGCGGCGUAUUAGUUAGUUGGUGAGGUAACGGCUCACCAAGACGAUGAUACGUAGCCGACCUGAGAGGGUGAUCGGCCACAUUGGGACUGAGACACGGCCCAAACUCCUACGGGAGGCAGCAGUAGGGAAUCUUCCGCAAUGGACGAAAGUCUGACGGAGCAACGCCGCGUGAGUGAAGAAGGUUUUUCCGGAUCGUAAAACUCUGUUGUCAGAGAAGAACAAGUUGGAGAGUAACUGCUCCAGCCUUGACGGUAUCUGACCAGAAAGCCACGGCUAACUACGUGCCAGCCGCAGC